rnacentral:rRNA from 1 species
GACGAACGCUGGCGGCGUGCUUAACACAUGCAAGUCGAACGAAGUGGCGAACGGGUGAGUAACGCGUAAUCAACCUGCCCUUCAGAGGGGGAUAACAGUUGGAAACGACUGCUAAUACCGCAUACGGAAUGCGGGGAUUGCGUCUGAUUGGCUAGUUGGAGGGGUAACGGCCCACCCAGGCGAUGAUCAGUAGCCUGUCUGGGGGGAUUGACCGGCACAUUGGGACUGAGACACGGGCCAGACUCCUACGGGAGGCAGCAAUGGGGAAUCUUCCGGAAUGGACGAAAGUCUGACGGAGCAACGGCGCGGGAGGGAUGGCGGCCCUCGGGGUGUAAAGCUCCGUUAAUCGGGAAGCGGUACCGGCAUAGAAAGCAACGGCUAACUCCGUGCCAGUAGCCGCGGUAAUUC